rnacentral:precursor_RNA from 1 species
GUUUGAGGGAUUGAGGGUCAUCAGGGAUCUCCUUGGGAUCCCACUCCUGACACCA